UGUGUGUGUGUCUUAUAAGAGUUAGAAAAACCUUACAGUAACACUCUAGUGGACUUUCAGUUAUGUCUUACUAUUCCGGGUUGCAUCACAAGACCAUGCCUAAACCAAUCCCUGGCAAGGAGGACAGAUUGACUAUGAAUGCUUUGAAAUAACCAACAUUCACUCCCUGGGGAAUAGGAGUUAUCCAUUAAGCAAGUGGUCACCCAUACCUGAAC
rnacentral:lncRNA from 1 species